UAGGGAAUCUUCCGCAAUGGGCGAAAGCUUGACGGAGCAACGCCGCGCGAGUGAUGAAGGUCUUCGGAUCGUAAAACUCUGUUAUUAGGGAAUAACAAAUGUGUAAGUAACUAUGCACGUCUUGACGGUACCUAAUCAGAAAGCCACGGCUAACUACGUGCCAGCAGCCGCGGUAAUACGUAGGUGGCAAGCGUUAUCCGGAAUUAUUGGGCGUAAAGCGCGCGUAGGCGGUUUUUUAAGUCUGAUGUGAAAGCCCACGGCUCAACCGUGGAGGGUCAUUGGAAACUGGAAAACUUGAGUGCAGAAGAGGAAAGUGGAAUUCCAUGUGUAGCGGUGAAAUGCGCAGAGAUAUGGAUGAACACCAGUGGCGAAGGCGACUUUCUGGUCUGUAACUGACGCUGAUGUGCGAAAGCGUGGGGAUCAAACAGG
rnacentral:rRNA from 1 species